rnacentral:rRNA from 1 species
UGGCUCAGGAUGAACGCUAGCGGCAGGCUUAACACAUGCAAGUCGAGGGGUAUAUUUCUUCGGAGAUAGAGACCGGCGCACGGGUGCGUAACGCGUAUGCAAUCUGCCUUUCACAGAGGGAUAGCCCAGAGAAAUUUGGAUUAAUACCUCAUAGUAUUAUGACUCGGCAUCGAGUUAUAAUUAAAGUCACAACGGUGAAAGAUGAGCAUGCGUCCCAUUAGCUAGUUGGUAAGGUAACGGCUUACCAAGGCGACGAUGGGUAGGGGUCCUGAGAGGGAGAUCCCCCACACUGGUACUGAGACACGGACCAGACUCCUACGGGAGGCAGCAGUGAGGAAUAUUGGACAAUGGGCGCAAGCCUGAUCCAGCCAUGCCGCGUGCAGGAUGACGGUCCUAUGGAUUGUAAACUGCUUUUGUACGAGAAGAAACACUCCUAUGUAUAGGAGCUUGACGGUAUCGUAAGAAUAAGGAUCGGCUAACUCCGUG